GAUGAACGCUGGCGGCGUGCCUAAUACAUGCAAGUCGAGCGAACAGACAAGGAGCUUGCUCCUUUGACGUUAGCGGCGGACGGGUGAGUAACACGUGGAUAACCUACCUAUAAGACUGGGAUAACUUCGGGAAACCGGAGCUAAUACCGGAUAAUAUUUCGAACCGCAUGGUUCAAUAGUGAAAGAGGGUUUUGCUGUCACUUAUAGAUGAGGCCGCGUUAGCUAGUUGGUUAGGUAAGGGCCUACCAAGGCAACGAUCCGUAGCUGGUCUGAGAGGAUGAUCAGCCACACUGGAACUGAGACACGGUCCAGACUCCUACGGGAGGCAGCAGUAGGGAAUCUUCCGCAAUGGGCGAAAGCCUGACGGAGCAACGCCGCGUGAGUGAUGAAGGCCUUCGGAUCGUAAAGCUCUGUUAUUAGGGAAGAACAAAUGUGUAAGAAACUCUGCACGUCUUGACGGUACCUAAUGAGAAAGCAACGGCUAACUACGUG
rnacentral:rRNA from 1 species